UACGGAGGAUCCAAGCGUUAUCCGGAAUCAUUGGGUUUAAAGGGUCCGUAGGCGGUCUAAUAAGUCAGUGGUGAAAGCCCAUCGCUUAACGAUGGAACGGCCAUUGAUACUGUUAGACUUGAAUUAUUGGGAAGUAACUAGAAUAUGUAGUGUAGCGGUGAAAUGCUUAGAUAUUACAUGGAAUACCAAUUGCGAAGGCAGGUUACUAUCAAUAGAUUGACGCUGAUGGACGAAAGCGUGGGGAGCGAACAGG
rnacentral:rRNA from 1 species